ensembl:rRNA 5S_rRNA 5S ribosomal RNA
GCUUACGGCCACACCCCCUAGUUCACGCCCGAUUUCGUUUGAUCUCGGAAGCUAAGAUAGGUUGGCCCUGGUUAGUACUUGGAUGGGAGACCGCCUGGGAAUACCAGGUGCUGUAAGCU